AUGGCUGCAGGUGGGGCUUCUCUUCUUGCCUUCUCUUUUUUUUCCAUGCUGGUCAUGUCUUCCCUGGGGGGUCCUAGGCCUUUAUGCAGCGACUGCGAGACGCUGUGCCGUACCAACUGCGAUGCAGAGGUUGAAACCCUCUGCGGCAGUACCUGCGACUACAACAACAGCGGUCAGGCCGACUGCCGGCGUCAGCUCUUGAAGAGGUGCACCACAGAAGGUACCUGCUGCAGUAGCAACGGCACAUGCACUUGUGAUUGCAACACUGUAGCUCAAAACGGUUGCUUCGGGGUCAGCGACGGGUACACACGCUGCGGUUCAUGCAAGCUUGGCAGGUUCAACCAGUGCUAUCCCACCUGCAAGAACGACUGCAACAACAACUGCAAGAAGAAGAAAGGGUGCCACGCAUAG
rnacentral:rRNA from 1 species